rnacentral:lncRNA from 1 species
CCUGGGCUUUUUCCCAGGAAUUUGGCAUUGAACUUGAUGUUAAUCUGAGGGAGUUUCCAGUUCCUGGCUGCGAGGCUGGAUGAGGACACGUGGCCCCGAGGCACAGAGAGCCCAGGGCUGUGGGCAGAGAAGAGUCAGAGCCUCAGGGGCCUCGCCCUGUCCAGAACUCCACGUGACAUGACGCCCCACAGAGCGAACCUCUGACAAACAAGCAUGGGGCCCGUGUUGCCCUAGUGGAUGGAAAUGGACGUGGGAAGCAAGAAAGGAGAUUGACUGCAGGCAAUGACACUGGGGAAACACAGGCAGGGCCAACCUGAGACGAAGGCAGAGAAGCAGCUCACCAGGCAGAUGGGAGCCAUCGGGAUGCUUGCUGUUCUUGAAAAACUUCAGAGAACAUCACCUAAGAACAAGGGCAUUCUCUUACAUAACCACAGCAUAAUUACCAAAAUCAGUCCACUUGUUCCCGUUAAAUAUUGAAGCCGUCAAAAUCAUCUUUCAAGAAAGGCACAGACCUGUCUCCUGGUCACAUCCUCGACCUUGGCAAAAUAAACUUCAAAACUGAUUGAGACCUGUCUCAUGAAUUCCUGAGAAAAACCUAUUUGCAUGAAUUCAUGAGCAGUUUAAUUUAUUAAAUCAUGAAUAUAUAACAUUACAUCAAUAGAACCAAUAAGAAAAAACAUACAAUAUCCUCUAUGCUGAGAAAGUGGCAGAAGAAUUUAAUACCCAUUUCUUGGAAAAUGAAAUAUUGGAAUAUACAGAAAAGUGAAAAAUCAAAAAGGGUGGUGUUGGCAAAAAAAGACUGGAUAGAUGGAAGGAACAAUGGAGGUGAUACAGAAUGUAGCAUGUGAAGAAGCAGAAUGAAAAAGGAUACAUCACAAAUCAAACAGAAAAAUUUACUAAAUCACUUUUUAUCUACUUCCACAAUAAUGCUGUAAAGAAAACCACUUCAAAGCUUGGUGGAGCAAAGCAAUAAACAUUUAUGAUUGCUCAUGAGCCUAGGGUCAGCUGGGUGGUUCUUCUGGUUGGGACAGGGCAAGGGUGAUCUUGGUUAGGCUCACUCAGCUGGAGGGUUGUUGACUGGUGACUGGAUGAUCUAAGAUGGUUAUGCCUGGGACAGAUAUAAAUAUAGAAGAAAGUAGAAAUUUGGUUUUGUUUGUAGCUCCUCUUAAAAUAUCCUAUCUGAUUUAAAAGACUACUGCCUAAUGCAAUAAUUGUACAUCUAAGUAGAUUGAUACACAAUGUAUUAAGGCCUCAAAAUAUAUGAAGAUGUAUAUUGGGACCAUAACAGCCCUAAGGGGUAGGGGAACAAAGCUAUAUAGAAACAAAAUUAAAAAAAAUACUAUUGAAGUAGUUGGUAGUAAUCCAAACUAGAUUAUUGUAAGCUAAAAUGCUAAUGGUAACCCCAAUAAUAAUCAUGAUAAAAUACUCAAAAAUAUAUAGUAAAAGAACUAACUGGAAAAUAGAAGUGGUACUGGAAGAUAUCUAUUUAACACAAGGCAGUAAUGGAAAAAAAAAGGAAGAACAAAAAAGACGUAAGUCACGUAAAAAACAAAUAACAAAAUGGCAGACGUAAAUUCUAUCUUACUUAUAUUAAAUAGUAAUAGAUUAAAUUCUCCAAUUAAAAGUCAGAAAUUGGAAGAGUGAAUGAAAAAAACAUUGUAUAAAUAUACGCUAUAUCUAUCCAACAAUAUGUAUACAAGAAACACACUUUUGAUUCAAAGACACAAAUUGGUUGAAAUUAAUAUGAUGGAAAGAGAUGGAUAACCAACAGAGAGCUGGAGGGACUAUGCUAAUAUUAGACAAAAUAGACACAUGUUGUUCCUGGAGACAAAGGACAUUUUAUAAUGACAUAAGGGUAAAUUCACCAAGAAGGUAUAACAAAUAUAAAUAUAUGUAUAUGUAACAACAGAAUCUCAAAAUACAUGAAGCAAAACUGACAGAAUUGAAGAGAGCAAUAGACAAUUUACCGGUAAUAAAGACUUCACUAUUCUACUUUCAACAACGGAUAGUGCAACUAAGCAAGAGAAUGAGAUUUAAUAUCUAGCAUUACCUUAAUUCUAUUUCUUUGUAAAAUAUAUCUUGGCUAUUUGUGUCCAAUUGUUACACUUACACAAACACAUUUAAAAAUUAGUAUUUCACACAUUAUAUAAAUGAUGCUAAGCAAGCAAUAGGAUUCUUUAUUUAAUCAUCACUUAAUUGUUUUUUUUUAAAAACUCAUCUACC